rnacentral:misc_RNA from 1 species
ACAUUUUCCUACUUAAUACUUUUUACUUAAACCCAAAAAUUAAAAUGUCAAAUGCAGAGUGAUUCAGUGCCCUGCUUUCCUCAUGAGCGUUAAUUCUAUUAAAGUUGAACCUUACAUCUGAGUCACCAAGCGAAAUACCUGACAACAGUUUCGGCAACCAGUACUAGUAAGAAGCCUCAUAUAAAUAGAUUCCUAUUCCUUGUGGCUAUUAAAAUAGCAAAUUCAACAAAGAAUUAUGCCAACUAAUCUAUUUAAAGAUUACAUUCAUCAUAUCAACGUUCUGCUGGCUCUUGAACAGGAAAUGUUGGAAGCAAGUUCAAAUUUCAUGAUAUUUUUCAUCCUUUGAGAGUAAGCCUACCACUAUUGAGACUGGAUGCAUCUGGUGAUACAUUUCCUGCUGCCAUUUUAUGAAGAAGUUCGAUUACUUUUGAAGUCUCAUUAUUUUGAAAGAAACCUCAAAUAAGUGGAGUAAUUUGCUGCUGUCGCCCCUGUCAAAACCAUGCGUCAAAGUACUUAGAAUCCACCCAAAUGAAUUAAAGCACAUGAUUAGUGGUUUAAAUAUAUAAUGUGUAAUUCCAGUCAAUGAUCACUGCAAUCCCAAACACAAUGACUGCAGAACAGUUUACAUAAACCGGAUACAAGUUCAAGAACUAUACGCAAGAACACAGUAUAAAUAUUAUUGCAAGCUGUGACUAAUUUGUUGCAAGGAAAUCAAAACUUAUUUUGUUUAUUACAGCAUACCAAUAAGAAUGAGAAUUUUCAUGUCUUAAUUUAUCCAAGAAAGAAUUUUAAUAUCUUACAUGAAGCAUAACACGCAUUGAUACCUUAAUAGCUUCAAUGCUCUUCCUUUGUCCAAACGGCCCCUCUAAACCCAAUAUCUUCAACGGGGAAAGAUGCUAAAUCUGGACACCAACUAGCAUUCACAAUCCUCAAAGAUGGCAUCACUUGUUGUACGACUUGCCAGUCCAUUUCCAACUCUGAGAGAGAUUCCAGCAACAACGCCUCAAUUUUCCACACUGUGUUAUUCUCCCCCCAAAAGCUUUGAUGAAUUUUUGCAAGAUUUCCUGAAGAGAUUGAAAGAUAUCUUAACAUAGGAAGUGAGAAGGGAUUGAGCCAGACAGGACUCAUCUUGCCUGGAAAAUAUUUGAGAGAGAGCUCAUGGAGGGAAGGUGGAGGAUAGAGUCUAUCAAGUUUGUCAAUGAGGUCAAUCCCAUGGCUAUCAAAGCAACUUAUAGUGAGGAGUUGAAGUUCUUGGAGGUUUACUAAUGCAUUGACCUCAUUAUCUUCAAUCUCAUCACUCCGAGUCAGAUGCAAACCAAGUGUCCUGAGUCGAGUCAAAUUUCUCAGUUCAGCAAUCCGACAGCCAUCUAAUUGGUUUGUUCUAGCAGGUCUAAACCCCAACAAAACUUCAAGGUUUGAAAGCCUUCCCAAGCCUUUUGGCAAGUACUCAAGUGAGCCACAGUGGCUUACAUCUAAGACUCUGAGCUUCUUAAAGGUCAUGAGAUAAGGAGGCAUCAUUUUGAGAUUCUGACAAUAGCUCACAUCCAAAACCUGAAGGUUGUUAAGUCUCUCUAGUGAAGGAGGGAGUUGGAUCAACGGAUGGGUAUUGCUUAAGCUAAGGCAUGUUAAAUGCUGAAGGCAACCAAUCUUAUGUAGGAGAACUGUGAGAGGCACUUCAAAGAUAGACUUGCAAAGAUCUAAAACUCUCAGGUAUCUACACUCAUUAAACUUGUUUGCAACGCUUGAUACAAUCUUGUUCACUUCACCAGUCUUGGUUGUGGACAACAAUGCUCGUAACUUUCGAUUGGCAGCCAGUUUCUUAUGAUCCAUAUUGCUAUCAAUCCCCAGAUGACGACAGCCUAUGCCAUUAAGUCUAAAGAAUGCAUCAUCUUCAGCCAUCUUGAUCACCAAAUCACGAACCAUAUCAUGAAUCUUGCAAGUGUAGAUAAUUCCAUUGUAAGUCUUGUCAACUACUUCCACCAAACAUCGAUUUGUUAACCCCGAGAAACAACCCUCCCCAGCUUCAAUUGCUGAUCUGCCAUUUCUCACGGGGACAAAUCCUUCUCCCAUCCACCAAUGAACUAACUGUUCCUUUGCUAUCACACAAUCCUCUGGGUAAAGAGAGAAACUGAGAAAACAAGACUUCAGGUGAGUAGGGAGCUCAUCGUAGCUCAAUUGUAAAGAAGCCAUCACAGAGUCAUCAUUUUCUGCCAAUUCAUCCCGAAAGUUCUUUGCAAUUCGCCUCCACUCAUUGUAAUGUGAUUUAUAAAGCAAAAGUCCUCCAAUUGCUUUAAUGGCCAAAGGAAGACCCUUACAUUUAGAUACAAUCUCCUUUCCAACCUGUUCUAGCUCAGGAUACCUGCAGUCACCUCCACUUGCUGCGAAAGCAAUCUUCCGAAAUAGCAACCAGCUAUCAUCCUCACUAAGGAACUUAGGUCUAUGGAUUCUUGCUUCGCUCACUCCCAUCAUUAUUGCAACUUCCUUGAUCCUUGUGGUGAUGAUAAUACAGCUUCCGUUUCCCUUGGGCAAGCCCUCAAAGAUUCUACGCCACCAAUUGACAUCAGAGUUCCAUACAUCAUCCAUAACAAUCAAGAACCUUUUACCUAAAAGAUAUUGGUUUAUUUUCUUCAACAAUUCACCUCGGUCAUCUCCUACGCUUGCAUCUCCCAAGUUCCUCAGCAUGCUUCUCAUGAUUUGUGCUUCAUCAAGUGUCUGAGAGACAGACACCCACAUUCUUCUUUCAAAAUGGUCUUCCAUUUCUCUGUCAUUAAAGACCUUUUGAGCAAUUGUGGUCUUGCCCAAUCCGCCCAUACCAACAACACCAAUUGAUAAUAUGCCAUGAUCUGCUUCAAAAAGCCAAUCCUUCAUCUUUUUUGUGUCACCUUCUAAUCCAACCACUUGAGUAUGAUCAUAUACAGGAGAGCUCCAUCUUGGGUCAUUGUGCACAUCAAUUCUAGCCAUUCCGUUGCUAGUUGACAGACCAAGAUAUGAAAGGUCUUGCUUAAUUUUAGUGAUAUUCUCAUUUAUUUCCCUAAGUCGCUUUCCAGUUUUAUAUUGAAACUGAAGUUUUGGAGGAUGGAUACAACGUAGCCAGCCAUUAGAAAAUGAGUCAUCUCUUGAUUGAAGUUGGCAGUCUGCUAGUAUGUCUUCAGCUUCAUAUAUCAACUCUCGUAAAUUGCCCAUUAUAACGUGCAGAGUUUGUUCCUUCCUUUUUCGUUUGUCUGCAUCUUUGAGGACACUUUGCAUUAAUUCGAGCUCCUUCUGCAAGUUCUCAAAUUGAUCCCUAAAUUCAUUCACUAUGCGGCCCUCCUCUACUAGAGUAUCCAACAGCCUCUCCAAGAAGACACUGACUACAGCAUCCACCAUAUCUUUGACCUAAAACUUUAAAACAGAUAAAUAUUCUAGUAAACAAUUGAUUUCAGGGAUGGAAGAUCAGAGAUCUUAGCUUCAAUCAUCAAGUACUCUUACUGGUUGAAACUUGCACUAGAUGUGCAAAAUAAAAAAACUGACUUCUACACAAAACAUCAGCUACUUUCUGCAGUUAAGAACUUGUAAAUAAACCAUAAUGCUUCUUAGCCAAUAUGAGUAGUCAUAAAUUCAUUCUGUCAUGCAUUCAUACUAAAAAUCCAAAUGAUGGAAAGAUGACUUAAGCAUAAAGUGUCAAGUGCUCAUUUUGGUUGAGAAAUUAUAGUAAGUAAUGAAGAGGAAGUUAAUUAAACCAUUUAUGUCAGAAUGCAUGGGCUUCUUGGAGAGCUACUACAGGAACCAAUUUGAUACAGACCUUUAACCUAAUUCAACAUGGAGUUGGGAAAUUCAACCCAACCAAAUUCUGUAUCCUGUAUGAAUGUGUGGUUUUCAUGACAGUUGCCUUUUUUUUGUGAGAUCAGUUGUACUUAUAAGUUUAAGAUUUGAGAGAGAUACUCUUUCCUGUUGGAUUAAUCUUUUUCAUGUUUACUAAACUUGUCAGUAAAUUUCAGCAGUCACCAAAUUUCAAUCUAUUAGCAAAAUUACUAAACUUCAAUGUUGUUUCAAUAAGGUCAUUAUGACCAUAUUUUUAUAGAGGUUUAAGCAAAACUUUUAUGCAUCGAGUAAGAAAAUUCUUACAGCAUAUUUUUAAUUGUAUAACUACAUUAAAAAAAUUUCUUGUUUUCAUGUCAAAAUUUCUAACUGAAAAUCUAGAGAGGUAAAAAAAAACUAGCAAUUGUAACCUAAUUGAAUAAAAUUAAAGUUUAGUAAUUUUUCUAAUACAAAUUAAAGUUUAUUAACUGUUAAAAAAAAAAAGAGCGAUAAAGUUCAAUGGUCAUGGGUGAAAUUAUGUCACAUAAAUUUAUAUGCUGUAGACUUUUCUUUUCUGUUUCUGUUGUUAUUUGUGUUGCUCCCAAGUCCUAAACAAACAAGAGUUUGCCGUCACAAAAUCAGGGAAUUAAAAAACUCAAAUCAGUUAGCCUACUCUUUUUAACUACAACCUAAACCUCAUCAGCUUAAAGUGCAAGUGUGAUACUGAUUCAUCUGAUUUCUUACAUAAGUUGCUUUUAUACAAGGACAGUACAUUGGAUAGGAGCAGGAAACUCCAGCUAAAAUCAGACGCAACGCAUAAACAAGAAACAGGACCAAAACCAGCUACAGCGACAAAGAAAGCCCAAUCAAACAAAACUAGCUGAAAGCUAAGGUCUCAUGAAAGAAUACCCAUAAAAUAAUUGUCUCAAAAAGUGCAGAGAAGGGAACUUACACUGUAAUGAUGGCUGGGUUCCUUUAAAUUUUCCUGCAGAAAUAGGGGAGCAUAAACCUCAUUGAUGGAAUGAGAAUGGGAGGAAAGCAACUCUUUUUCUUUGAGGGCUUCUGUAGCCUGGAUUUACUAAAGUGCCCUUGUGAUGAGAAAGCAUCUCAAGUCAACAUUUCUCGUCAACGCCACCGUGGGCAUGGCCCGUGAGUGAGGUCCGGUCUUCCUUCUCCACUCGAACACGGUUUCGGCGAAAGUACAUUGACAUGGCGUCCAAUAGCACGCGGUUUUCGCUACUCCACAGUGCAGUAGCCUCGAAAACACCACUAAAGGGUUUCCAUAUCCUUCAACUACAAUUUACAUUUUGUGCUGA